CUCGUCGUUGCAAAAGAAUCCCCGUUCGUAUGGUUUGCCGAACAGGAAGAACAACAGCACCGAGGCGCCCACUGAAAACAGAAACGUGGAACGUACAACUUUAUCAACUCGAAUUACCAGGGGAAACCAGAGGGACAGUAAACUCGACAAGCUUAUUUUCACAAAUCGUUGGUCACCGAUGAAAUCGCGUCGCACAUCGGCAAGAUAUCGGCGAGAGACUACCGGUUUGCCUCCUUCUUUUUUUACCUAACAGCCAGUCCGAGGCUGCGAUAAUUCGAAAAUUGAACGCCAGUCGUUCUCUGUCGCAUGUCGCAUUUAUUCAAGCAACGAGUUUUCAUCAUUUGGAGAUUUAUACAGUGUACAGCCGGGACCGAAAAUGAACGCUUAAGUGGGAAGUGGUGUUAUUCUGCAAAUUGACGUCGAAAAAAAGAAAGAGAGACAGUCUCAAUUCCAAAAAUUUGGUGGAGAUAAGCGACGAACGCUUACGAGUAAAAAAAAGUGCGGUCACUUAUGAUGGCACCACUGUGUAUCUGUAUACUGUGCGAUGGCAAACGCAUCCAAGUCGAAAAAGUGGGCGGAAAAAUCACGAGUAAAGGUGAAAUUACAGCGUUAUUGGACGCGGUUACCCUUCGCUGUUUGCUCGAUGAAAAUCGUGAGAAGGCCUCGCCUCCGCCACUACCUGGAAAUCGCUCGACCGAGCUCAGCUAUUAAGAUAAUUGUCACGCUGGCUUUUAAAGUAAAACAGAGAGGAAGGGGCGAUACAGUGGGCAGCGGGCAGUAAGCAGCUCUAGCGACUCUCGCAAACAUCGCACGUGGUCAUUAUUUAUGCAGCAAACUGCAUACGUCCGAGCUGAUCGCGGUUGCAUAUACAUUUAGUACGGACUGGUUGAAGUUCCACGAUCAUUCGCCCCGGUAAUCGUGCCUCGAAUUUAUUGCCAGCGGCAGCUGGUAUUAUUUAGAAAUAUGCGGGAUAUACCGUGUGUUUUUCGAGCUAUUGGCACGAUGUUCGAAUUGCCGUUCCGAGAAAACCGCGUGGUUUUAUCGCUCCGUUGAAUAUAACCGACAACCGGAGAAAAAAAAAGUAACGUGUGGCACGAGUGGGCUUUUUUCAUACGAGGCUCAAAGAAGAAAAAAUGACUGUCGUAACAUUAUUAUUAUGUCCUAAGCGUAUCUACGUUCCGUGAAUUUUACGUAACGUCAAGUAUGUAAGUUAAGUAACAACAUACAUAUGCAUGAGAUUAAGAAAAAAUGAUUGUCAACUAUCAUAUCGACACGAGAUUAUCCAAUCGUCGAACUCGCACGAUCGUAUUAAAUCGAAUCGAGGAAAAUAAAGAGGACAGAAGAGAGUGGCGAUUGUGCACAUCAACAUUUGUAUGAACUUUGUCCACAGAUAUUAUACUUGUUACGUGAUUCAAGUAGAAAAAAAAAUUUCGCAAAUGAAGUAUAUGCGUUCAGAGACAACGCCCCAAGCAUCGUCGCGCAAUUCGAAAAUAACAAUAAACAUAAUAACUGCGCGAUUUUUCAACGAUCGAACUAAUGACGAAUUCUCUAUACGAUUUUAAACAUGUUUGUGUGACUUGCCUAUCACACAUAACG